rnacentral:rRNA from 1 species
GAUUUCUACGGGAGGCAGCAGUGAGGAAUAUUGGUCAAUGGGCGGAAGCCUGAACCAGCCAAGUAGCGUGCAGGAUGACGGCCCUACGGGUUGUAAACUGCUUUUAUACGGGAAUAACGCGCCUUACGUGUAGGGCUUUGCAUGUACCGUAUGAAUAAGGACCGGCUAAUUCCGUGCCAGCAGCCGCGGUAAUACGGAAGGUCCGGGCGUUAUCCGGAUUUAUUGGGUUUAAAGGGAGCGUAGGCCGCAUGUCAAGCGUGCUGUGAAAUGUUCGGGCUCAACCCGGGACUUGCAGCGUGAAGUUG